rnacentral:misc_RNA from 1 species
GAUGAAGAACGUAGCGAAAUGCGAUAAGUAAUGUGAAUUGCAGAAUUCAGUGAAUCAUCGAAUCUUUGAACGCACAUUGCGCCCUCUGGUAUUCCGGGGGCAUGCCUGUUCGAGCGUCAUUAUAACCACUCAAGCUUUCGCUUGGUAUUGGGGCUCGCGGUUCCGCGGCCCCUAAAAUCAGUGGCGGUGCCUGUCGGCUCUACGCGUAGUAAUACUCCUCGCGAUUGAGUCCGGUAGGUCUACUUGCCAGCAACCCCCAAUUUUUACAGGUUGACCUCGGAUCAGGUAGGGAUACCCGCUGAACUUAAGCAUAUCAAUAAGCGGAGGA